GGGCGGUUAGCUCAGCGGGAGAGCACUACCUUGACACGGUAGGGGUCACAAGUUCAAUCCUUGUACCGCCCA
rnacentral:tRNA from 1 species